UAAUUCAAAUACAACAGUUUUAGCUAAUGAGAGACUUGAAUUUUCCCUGAGAUGUCAAGGAAAUUUGAUGUACUGCCAAAUCUUCCAGGCUGACUUGGGAGGCAUGUGCAGGAGCCUCUUCACUCAGGUUACUUUACCUAUGGCUUUCUUCUUGGGAUAUCAGAAAAAAAUACCAUUCUGUUUUUAAAAUCUUAAGACUGAACUGUGGCAUAAAACAUUGUUUUAGAGGAACUUACAACAAGAAUCACGUGAGUAUAGAAGAGAACCUGAGACAUCAAUCUGCUGAGAGCUCUGGGGGCCUAGAGCAUGGUCCUGUGAUCUACUUAAAGAUUAAAAGAUUGUGGAACUUUCAUUGAAAUGUGGUGUUUGCAGCUCUGUGAGAGAAAAUGCCCGAAAUGAGUCUGGUAGACUGGCUGCAUGCAGCACAACACACAUGGGCAGAUAUACCAGGAAUGUUCAACCCACUCUGCUGAGAGGCAUUUGGAGUUGUUGUCCACAUUAUCACCACAUAUGUGGUUGGUGGCACCCCCCGCCUAGGGAUUACUGUAGAGUCCUGAGGGCAACCCCCUUUUAGAAGUGAGAGACCAGAAACAGCUGCAUGUCUUGUACCUCAAAGUCACAUAGCCAGCUCUCCUCAAAGAGUGGUGGAAGAUUACCCUGAUCAUAUGGGCUCACGAUAGUGAAUGACAGGAAUGUGCUCAAAGCUUUCUUCAGGAAAAGAUGUGUUUUGCCUUUUGCACAGUUUGUAGCAUUUAGGGCCACAG
rnacentral:lncRNA from 1 species